rnacentral:lncRNA from 1 species
GCUUUCAAAGUUUCUAUGAUAUUCUAAUGAAUAAUCAAGAAUCAAUUCUACACAAUAACAAAGUGGAAUGUUUUCCAGAUUUAUGUUGAGUGAUCACAAAGGAUCAAGAACUUCUCUUCUCGGGUAUCUAUCAAAAAUUUACUUUGAUAUAUACUCAGGUGUAUCAUAUAACCAUAAAGAUUAAAUCAUACCCCUCUGCAAGUACUUAGAGCGACCAACUCCUUGUACCCUAUAUUAUGCAUAAUACUUAAUCGCGCGCAAUAGACGAAUAUACGACCAAUAAAAUGUUCCCUUUAUAUAAAAGGUUGUUGUUCUCAGUCUCAGAAUUAAGAUUUGAUUUAACAACGAAAUACUAUGAUUUCAAUUUUCUAAUUACUUCUCGAUCUAGCCAAAAUAAUUGCCAUCGAU